GGUAACAGGUCACGCGACAAGAGGCGUUCCCGCGGUGCGCGCGCUCAUUGGUUCGGUCCGAGUGUCUGUCGGUUCAGUUCACUCGGAUGUCGUGUUGUCAGAGGAGGGGGCAAAAGAACACCUGCUUCUGUAUGGGACAUGGAGCGAUUGAGUGCUGAAGCACUGGGUGCAGAACCUGAUGGCUUCUUUGACAUUCUGGAGGAGAGGAGGCGGAGCAGUGACUUAAGCCACGCCUUUCGGACCUUUAAACCUCAGCCAUACCGUGGAGCCACACCCAUUUCAGCUGCUGCUCUAAACAAGAUGGUGCUUGAAUCACAGUACCUGCGCUACAUCAUACAGGAGAUCGUGGUUGAGUGCGAUGAACCACGUGAGGCAGUUCUAGAGGAAGCGUCUGCGUUACUGGACGAGAUGAGUCAAAACCUUCAACUGGGGUUCAUUCGUCUGCUGGGCUUCGCAAUGAGCAAAAUUUUUAAAAGCGUGUUCAGCUCUAUAAAUGUCAACGAGGAUGGACUCGCACGGCUCCAGCAAGCCAUUCAGGAGCAUCCCGUCAUCCUGAUGCCCAAUCACAGGAGCUACAUGGACUUCCUUGUUCUGUCUUACAUCAUGUUCACUUAUGACCUCUCUCUCCCCGUCAUUGCAGCUGGAAUUCCUCUGAUGGGGAUGAAGCUGAUUGGUGAGAUCUUACGACGGUCAGGCGCAUUCUUUAUCCGUCGUGCCAUUGGCUCAGACAAGCUGUACUGGGCGGUGCUGUCCGAGUACGUCAGAACGAUUGUGCGGACAGGUUAUGCUCCAUUAGAGUUUUACGUCGAAGGAUUACGGAGUAGAACGCUGAAAUCUCUAACACCAAAACUAGGAAUGAUGCACAUGGUGUUGGAGCCCUUUUUUAAAGGAGAGGUGUUUGACAUCAGUCUGGUCCCCAUCAGCAUCAGUUAUGAGCGUGUGUUGGAGGAGUCGCUUCUUGCUCGUGAGCUGCUGGGUGUCCCUAAACCUAGAGAAACCACAGGGGGUUUGCUGAAGGCCAGGACGGUGCUGAAGGAGAAUUACGGCAGCAUGCAUGUGUGCUUUGGAAACCCUGUGUCUGUGAGAGACCUGGUCAAGGGAAAGAUAAACAACAGGCAGUAUAAUCUGGUACCCAGAGAUCUGCCCAUGAAGCCCAAUAAGGAGACACAGGAGUUUGUAUCUGGUCUAGCCCACAUGAUCAUCCGUUUGCAGGAGAGAAAUUCGGUAUUGAGCGCCUGGAACCUGAUGGCUGUGAUUCUCCUUCAGAACCUCCAGGGCAUUGAUUUGGACCUGCUGACCCACAAAACCCUCUGGCUGAGGAGAAUCGCCCUGCAGUUUGGAGCCCACCUCAGAUGGCCUAAGCAUGUUUUGGAUUCUGAAGUGAUGUCAUCGAUCUUGACCCUGCAUCACUCAGUAGUGCGCUGUGAGAGGGGGUGUGUCUAUUUAGUGGAGGAGGAGGGUCCAGGACCUGUCACUCAAGAGGAGGGCGUGUUCCAACGUGCUGCUGCUGUGCUCAUAUGCGCCUCCUACAGGAAUCAAGCAGUACAUGUUUUCACACGGCCAGCUAUGGUGGCAGUUGCAAUGACAACAGCUAUAAGCAGUAGGACAGACGACGUGUUUCAUCAUUUUAAAUUCCUUCUGGAGCUCUUUUCCAACGAGUUUGUCUUCAUUCCUGGUCAAGCUGUUCAGGACUACGAGGAGGGCUGCUCUUUGCUACAGCAGUCUGGUGUAAUCGGCCGCUCUGAUGAAGAGGUCUAUGUGAGAGACGACGGCCAGGACACCAUCAUCUUCCUCAGAACCAUUCUGCAGCCUUUUAUUGAGAGUUACCAGUGUGUUUAGGUGGUGUUUAGGUACCUGUGUGAAGAGAACUCGCAGACUUUCAGAGAGAAGAUGUUUUCAACCAGCAUCCGCAGUUUCAUUAUGAAGCUCCUUAUUUCAGGUGAAGUUCAGUCCUAUGAGUGUUUGUCAUCUGACCUACAGAAGAACGUUCUCUCAGCUUUGCUCAGGAUGGCUGCUGUGACCAAAACUAAAGUUGACGACCAGAAUGAGUUCAGAGUGAAUAAAUCUGCAGUGAAGAGAAUAUGGGACACGCUGAAUGACGGUUGGAGCCCUCGAAUCAGUGUAGACGCCAGACUGUGAUGAGGAGAAUCAGACAACAGCGACUCAAGAUUCUUUUACUGUAGAAGUGCUAAUAAGUAUUAGUACCAUAUGUGUUUUAGUGUCAAACACAGAGUAAACCUGCAGUAGCGGCUCUUGAUGUAGAACAUCAGUUAUUUUGGACUGUUGUUGCAGUAUAGAUGAUUUAAUUUUAGAUAGGUCAUGUGAAAAUCAUAACAGGUAAUUAUGGUAUAUCAACAGCAAAAUAUAAAUUUAAAGAUAUAUUCAUCUUUUAAGUGUUCAUUUUAUAUGCAUGUUUAACAUGCAAUUUAACAUGUUUUUUUUUUAAUUUUGAUAAUCAAAUAAUUACAUUAAUUGCAUAUUUUUUUAAAUAUAUAUUUUUGUAUGAUAUCAUUGUAAUAAAAUCUUGAUUACUGCCGCA